AAGAAAUUAGAAAUUACGGUUCCUCAUCCGUCACUCCGUGCGACUGCUGCAGUGCUGCCGACGCCCGACUACUGUGACGCCUUCUUCCUCAGCUCGUCGUUCAUUCUUCUUCCUCAGGUAGCUCCACAGCAGGUAGCGUUGAUAAGUAAUAGCGGCACAUCCUCCUCCCACCAGUCUUGGUGAGCCCCAUUUCAUUUUGGAGUUAUGCAUCUUUUGUUCCUUAUGUAUUGUACUUGAGGUAUAGCCGAUGCCUUGUUGCCGGAACUUUUAUUGUACUCUUUUGUAUCUAUUAGAGGUACCGUAGACAUAAUGUGGGUUGUAUAUGGGUGCUGGGAAAGCCAGACCAAAUUUUAUUGUGUUUGAAUCAUUUAUUCCACUUCCAACUAUGAAAAAUAUAUAUAUUUUGAGAUUUUAAGAUAAAGUAACUAAUGAAAUGAUGUAGUAUUGUAUUCA